rnacentral:lncRNA from 1 species
UUGCCACUGAAAUUACCCUAUGGCUACUGCAACCGAUAGUCGCUGCUUUGAAUAACUUCCUUCCUAUUGCGCUUAAGGUAAUUCCAAACCUUAAUUUCUCAAAUUUUGCGAAUCGCUCUGUACAUAUGGGUCUCUUAUACUUCAUGGCCCUUGUUGCCCUCUCAUGCUUACAUGCAUAACUUUUGUUGAACUUAGUAUCAGAAGGGUAGUGAGGAACAAUUCAAUUUGACGAUCACAAAAAAGGGCCAUCACAAUCUUUGAGUUCCAAAGGUUAACUUAUUUAGAAUUUUUUAGCUUCUUGAUUAACUUUAUUGAUGUUUAAUUCAGCUUAUAUGUGAAAAUUAUUUUCCUCCUUUUUUAAUUUUUUGUUUUUUUAUGGAUGAUUAAGUAUUGGAUUUUUUACCUGGGUAUUUUUCCUUUUUUACUUGGAUUGGAUUUUGUAGAUUUUUUAGUUGGUUUGAAAAAAAACUCAUCAAUGUUGGUUAAUAAAUGUGUUCUAUCAGCAGUUGGUUUAUUUGGAGUGGUGACUCCUAUUGUGUUAAUUUGAAGUUAGAUUGUGCAUAUAGUUGUUGUAGUUUAUUUUAGAUGAUAUGAUGUGUGUUCUGAAAUAUGAUGAAAUAGUAUGAGAUGAAGAUCCAGAAGCGGUUGAUUGAAGAUGGUGAAUAAUGUCAAUCUAACGAAUCAGGUUCUUUCGACCAAAAACCUCAUUGAAGCCUCNNN